AUUGAACGCUGGCGGCAGGCCUAACACAUGCAAGUCGAGCGGAUGAAGGGAGCUUGCUCCUGGAUUCAGCGGCGGACGGGUGAGUAAUGCCUAGGAAUCUGCCUGGUAGUGGGGGAUAACGUCCGGAAACGGGCGCUAAUACCGCAUACGUCCUGAGGGAGAAAGUGGGGGAUCUUCGGACCUCACGCUAUCAGAUGAGCCUAGGUCGGAUUAGCUAGUUGGUGGGGUAAAGGCCUACCAAGGCGACGAUCCGUAACUGGUCUGAGAGGAUGAUCAGUCACACUGGAACUGAGACACGGUCCAGACUCCUACGGGAGGCAGCAGUGGGGAAUAUUGGACAAUGGGCGAAAGCCUGAUCCAGCCAUGCUGCGUGUGUGAAGAAGGUCUUCGGAUUGUAAAGCACUCUAAGUUGGGAGGAAGGGCAGUAAGUUAAUACCUUGCUGUUUUGACGUUACCAACAGAAUAAGCACCGGCUAACUUCGUG
rnacentral:rRNA from 1 species